AGGGUUGUAUUUUAAUGAAAAAUAUACGCUUUGCAUGUGUGAGAUGAGGGCUCUA
rnacentral:tRNA from 1 species